rnacentral:rRNA from 1 species
GAUGAACGCUGGCGGCGUGCCUAAUACAUGCAAGUCGAGCGAACGGACGAGAAUCUUGCUUCUCUGAUGUUAGCGGCGGAAAGGGGAGUAAAACGUGGAUAAACUAUCUAUAAGACUGGGAUAAAUGCGGGAAACCGGAGCUAAUACCGGAUAAUAUUAUGAUCCGUAUGGUUCAAAAGUGAAAGAAGGUCUUGCUGUCACUUAGAGAUGGAUCCGCGCUGCAUUAGCUAGUUGGUAAGGAUACGGCUUACCAAGGUAACGAUGCAUAUCCGAGCUGAGAGGGUGAGCGGCGGCAGUGGAACUGAGAGGCGCUGCAGAACCCUACGGGAGGCAGCAGUAGGGAGUCUUCCGCGAUGGGCGAAAGCCUGCCGGAGCAACGCGGCGUGAGUGAUGGUGGUCGUCGGAUCGUAAAGCUCUGUUAUUAGGGAAUGACAUAUACGUAAGUAGCUGGGCACAGCCUGGCGUUGCCUGAUUGGAGAGCCACGGCUAACUACGUG